rnacentral:lncRNA from 1 species
UCACAAAGGUAACAAAGUCGACGAAAUAGUUUCAUCACUAAGGGCAUUCAAUCAAGCAAAAGCCGACAAAAUAUCUCUUUUUCACGCCAUAAAUGCCGAGAAAAUAUUUCCUCCUGAAACUUUUCACAAAGGUAACAAAGUCGACGAAAUAGUUUCAUCACUAAGGGCAUUCAAUCAAUACUUACCUAAUAGCUCAAACCUGAAUCUCUUUUUUAAUUUCAAGAAGUAGAACCAUUUAAAAUAAGCUCAAGUCUAAUUCAAAGACGACAAGUAUAACUCUAUAUUAUAAAAGCAUUAACUCUGUAUUAUAAAGGAAAAAUUUGAGCAUGGGUGAAUGAAAAAAUCAUCCUUCUCACAAUUACUAGUAUUACUUUUCUUUCUAUUUUCUUGCGUAGGCCAAUUUUUUGGCGUGUUUAUGAUAAAAUUAUUUGUGGAGAGUUUUUUUUUUAUCAUUUUACUUUUUUAAUCUAAAAAUAAAAAAACAACUUUUUUAGCUACCCAAUUACAUCAAAUCUAUCGAAAGAAACUACACGCAUAGAGUCCAUAGACUAUUUCAGAAUUCACGUGUACACUUAAGGAAAAAUUUUAAUUCAGCAGUAAGACUAGAAAUUUACAUCAAUUCAGCGAUUUAACAAAUAAUAAUAUCAUUAGAUGUGGUGACUUCUAGACGCCUAAAAUUUAUCAUGGGCCUCACUCUCGUGGUCGUGAUCCGAUUAGUUCAGCUUUUAAGCUCAUAUGCCAAGAUAGACCAGGGGAAAACAUCACAUUAGUUUCGUAAACGUAGCCAUAUAUUUUCAUGAAAUACUAUUUAAAGGAUGGAUGAUAAAUAUAAGUUUGAAGAUUGACGAUCCUAUUUUUUAAGAUAAUUCUAAUGAAAUUAUAUGGUUAUAAUUAUUAAGUCAACAUAAUUUUUUUUAUGGAUGAUCUACGUUCCUAGACUUAAAAAAUGAACCGAUUAAAUCGUGGAAGCUGGAUUCUGGUGAGUCCCUUGAUUGGUAUGGUGCGAUCCAUAGACAAGUCAUUUCUUUUCUGUUUAUAUUUGACUUUUUCGUUUUAGGUUGUAUUUUUGCAUUUAGGGAUGGGCAUUCAACAAGUCGAGCUCACACUACAUAUAUAGAGGGUUUUGGUCUCCCCAAGUCAAGACCAACUCUAGUCCUAAAAACUUUUAAAUUCCUAAGGACCACUAAGCCUAUUUAUUCAGACUCUUAAAUGUUAAAUAUACUUAAGCAUUUACAUUAUAUUAGUUCUAAUUUUAAAAGUUAUGGUUUUUCUAUUUGCGUAGAAACCGAUCAUCUGGGAAUUGCACUGAUGAAUCUGGUGUUUCAGGAAAUGAUCUUAUCGUUUUUUUCAAUGCAAUCACUGUUGCUCCCACAACAAUAAUUAAAGUUCCCAAUUUAGCAUAAAAUGGAGAGGAAUUUGUUAUCAUAAAAUGAAGGGGGUGGUUGGUGGCGAUAGUGGGUGGUUAUACGUGCAUGGUGUUGGUGGUCUAGUUUCUAUUUAAUGAGCUAUGGGACCGAUAGCCAAUGCAUGUUCGCUCUUGUUGUUUUCAAAUGGAUCCUGAUCCAAUCUCCAUAGGUCCCAUAUCCCAUGCAGGUUCCCUAUUGUUGCUUUCAAAGGGAGCCUAAUCCAGUAACCUGUUGUGCUCAAAACUAAUUACGGAUCACACACACAAAAAACAAUAACGAUUUACGUGGUUCAGCCAACGAUGCCUACGUCCACGGAGAGAUAUCAAUAAUCCAUUAUCAAACGAAUGGAUUACAACGGAGGAGAGUCGAUCGCUCAACUCACACUCUCUCUUACAAUCUCUCUCUGUCUUGCCUCUCAAUCUCACCUCACAGCACUCUACUCUCAGCCCACAACACAACGCGUAGAAAAUCUAAGCACCCUACCCUCCCUUUUAUAGACCAAGGGAAGGAGGUGACAAAGUCGAUUUUGAGAAACUCAGAGGAAGGAGACAAAGUCGAUUUUGAGAAGCUGUACAACGACUGGAGUGCUGCAGCCAAAACAAGUCUCUUUCGCUCUCAAUUUGAUUGUGCGCACAAGGAAUGAGAGAUGGAGCUACAACAACUCGUAAAGUGACGUAUUUUGCAGGGCACGCCGGUGGGGGUGGGGGUUCAGGACACCUCGGUGAGAAGGUAAAGGCACUUCAGUGUGGAGGUGUAUACACUUCGGUGGAAGUGGAGUAGCCCGUUGAUAGGGGCAAGGUAUAUCGGAUGCUGUCUUGUAGAUCUUAUAGAGAAGCUGGACAAGAAGCUGUCUGGAUGAACAACUUGAAGAUAUCGAAUUACCCUCUAAUGGGUUGGAGGGGAAGAUUGUUGAAGUCCAGCCCAAUUGGAUGAGUCUAAGCCCAGUAGCCAAGCCCAAACUUGAUUGACUCACAUGGAGUGUCCAUGUGAGAAUGAAAACUUCCGAGUUAUCUAGCACUCUUGAGAGAAUUAUCUCUAGGUAAAAUAUGAUAACUAUUAUGUAUCCUACUGAAAGUCUACCACCACCUUCUCUU